UUGACAUAUACCGGAAGACGUGAGAGAUCACGUUGUCCCUUGUGGACUGGUAUACAGGUGCUGCAUGGCUGUCGUCAGCUCGUGCUGUGAAGUGUUGGGUUAAGUCCCGCAACGAGCGCAACCCUGUUUCUAGUUACCAGCACGUAAUGGUGGGGACUCUAGAGAGACUGCCGGUGACAAACCGGAGGAAGGUGGGGAUGACGUCAAGUCAUCAUGGCCCUUAUGUCCUGGGCUACACACGUGCCACAAUGGCCGGUACAGAGCGCAGCGAUACCGCGAGGUGGAGCAAAUCGCAGAAAGCCGGUCUCAGUACGGAUUGGAGUCUGAAACCCGACUUCAUGAAGGUGGAAUCGCUAGUAAUCGCGCAUCAGCAUGGCGCGGUGAAUACGUUCCCGGGCCUU
rnacentral:rRNA from 1 species